AAAAUAUAAACCCAAAAGAAAAGUCAUUGUCAAUUCUGAUUCCGCUUAAAGCAAAAGGAGCCUGGAGUGUAGCCUAUAAGAAUAACAAAAGUUUGAGUGUACAUUUCAACCAUUGAAAAUCAAGAAAACCAUCCAACACGGUUUUACCUUUUCUAGCAAUAAUAAUAAUAAUAAAAAAAGAACUUUCAGAGAUUGAAUAUGCAAUUAUACACAGAUAAUGAAAUUAUAAAAAAUAAAAUAAAAUAAACAGUACGUCAGCAGGCACCCAUUAAACCAGUAUAUAUAAUACAGCCAGACACAAGAGCAAUUGAAGAUAAACCAGAAACAGGAAAUUAAAAGAUUGAGCAAUCACUAUCUAGAAAGAACAGGAAAACUAAAAAAAUAAAAUUGUGUAAAGCAGACCAUAAAUAAGAGUGAAACUAAUCAAAACGAUAAAGUCACACAACAAAGAUGUAGGAACAAACCAUUGAGUCUUCGAAUUCGACAGUUGAGGUAUUCUCUUAAGAGAUAAAAAGGAUAUCUCUUCCUUCCCCAGUGAGACCAGAGGAGUCUGGAACCGGAAUCUCCAGGGAGAUAGGGCACUGGAUAUUCGCAAAUACCCAUCACAGAAAAUCAUUAGAAUUACUAUAUUGUCCCUAACAACUGCCGUCGCUUUCUUCUCUUCUCAAAGGAAAACAUGAUAAGCAAAGCAAAUCCAAUUCCUGGGAAAAUUGUAAAAUCCAUUUAGAGUGUGCUCUCAGUUUGGAGAAAAAAAAAAAUCCUGGAAA
rnacentral:misc_RNA from 1 species